rnacentral:rRNA from 1 species
CCCUUAGAUGUUCUGGGCCGCACGCGCGCUACACUGAUGCACUCAACGAGUCUGCCUUGUCCGAAAGGUCCGGGUAACCUUUUGAAAUUGCAUCGUGAUGGGGAUAGAUCCUUGCAAUUUUUGAUCUUAAACGAGGAAUUCCUAGUAAGCGCGAGUCAUCAACUCGCGUUGAUUACGUCCCUGCCCUUUGUACACACCGCCCGUCGCUACUACCGAUUGAAUGCUUGUAUGAGGCCUUUGGAUUGGCACCCUGUGCUGAGAAAAUGAACAAAUACCAGCAUUUAGAGGAAGUAAAAGUCGUAACA